GAAGUUUUAUUAGAAGGGCACUUACAGGAGGAAGAGAGGAGAGAGGACACAUUUAACAACAGGGGUAAAUGCUUAAACAGGUGCUCAGCUCUUAAGAUACAAAAGUUAGAAAAGUCUAAAACACUAUAAAUACAUACAUGCUUUUUACAAAGGGUGUUAAAAGGUCAGGCUGGCUGAGAAGGGAAGGUAAUCAGCAUCCUCCGUUCUCUUCCCCACCCAAGCAGGAGUCCCGCCCAGGACAGCCUAGUUGCAACAGCAGCACUGAAGGUGAAUGAAGGCUUCUUGGGGGCAGGUGGCUCCAGCCCUCUGUACAGUUCUCGCCCCUGGGAAGGGAGAGGGGCUGGGUUCAGAGGCCCCUGUGGACGGGCCUGCGUUGGCCUGAGCUAGCUGCCUGUGUUCACAUGCUGCCACACAGGGAGCCAGCCUGGGUUGGUGGCUCUGGGGGCCAAGCCACUGUCCUCGGGAGGAGAGCCGUUUCCAACUUUCUUCCAAAAUUAAAUAGUUAUCUGUCUUGGUUUUAACUUGAGAAGUGGCGGAUACUCCUCAAAGACUGUUACUUG
rnacentral:lncRNA from 1 species